AGCGAACGCUGGCGGCAGGCCUAACACAUGCAAGUCGAACGAUCCUUCGGGAUAGUGGCGGACGGGUGAGUAACACGUGGGAACGUGCCCUUUGGUUCGGAACAACUCAGGGAAACUUGAGCUAAUACCGAAUGUGCCCUUCGGGGGAAAGAUUUAUCGCCAUUGGAGCGGCCCGCGUCUGAUUAGCUAGUUGGUGAGGUAACGGCUCACCAAGGCGACGAUCAGUAGCUGGUCUGAGAGGAUGAUCAGCCACAUUGGGACUGAGACACGGCCCAAACUCCUACGGGAGGCAGCAGUGGGGAAUCUUGCGCAAUGGGCGAAAGCCUGACGCAGCCAUGCCGCGUGAAUGAUGAAGGUCUUAGGAUUGUAAAAUUCUUUCACCGGGGACGAUAAUGACGGUACCCGGAGAAGAAGCUCCGGCUAACUUCGUGCCAGCAGCCGCAGUAAGAC
rnacentral:rRNA from 1 species